rnacentral:rRNA from 1 species
GAUGAACGCUGGCGGCGUGCCUAAUACAUGCAAGUCGAGCGAACAGACGAGGAGCUUGCUCCUCUGACGUUAGCGGCGGACGGGUGAGUAACACGUGGAUAACCUACCUAUAAGACUGGGAUAACUUCGGGAAACCGGAGCUAAUACCGGAUAAUAUAUUGAACCGCAUGGUUCAAUAGUGAAAGACGGUUUGCUGUCACUUAUAGAUGGAUCCGCGCCGCAUUAGCUAGUUGGUAAGGUAACGGCUUACCAAGGCAACGAUGCGUAGCCGACCUGAGAGGGUGAUCGGCCACACUGGAACUGAGACACGGUCAAGACUCCUACGGGAGGCAGCAGUAGGGAAUCUUCCGCAAUGGGCGAAAGCAUGACGGAGCAACGCCGCGUGAGUGAUGAAGGUCUUCGGAUCGUAAAACUCUGUUAUUAGGGAAGAACAAAUGUGUAAGUAACUAUGCGCGUCUUGACGGUACCUAAUCAGAAAGCCACGGCUAACUACGUG